GGUUUACUUGCUGAAUCACAAAGAUCUUUAAGUGGACAGUAGACUUCUCGGUAUCGAUAUCCCUUACCACAGAUCGUGUAGCACUAUAGUCAGUGAAAUACAUGGAUCUUUGCCUCGAUAUUUUGUAAGCCACAUGAUCGACACCCUUUGACGUCAUAACAGGCUCGAUAAGAGAUAUGGAUGUUGUAAAUCCUGGAGCAACGUAAAAUCCUUUCUCUUCUGGCUGUGGUUCAUGGUCAAACUCGUGAAUUGUGACACGAGCUCCGGCUGCUGACGCUAUACGAUCCAUGUAUUCUUCUUGCUCGAGGAAAAGGAAGAGACUAAGACCUACGAAACUGUAAAGUGGUGUGCAUCGUUACUUUUAUCUCAGUUUCAAUGGGA